rnacentral:rRNA from 1 species
UACGUAGGGGGCAAGCGUUAUCCGGAUUUAUUGGGCGUAAAGAGCUCGUAGGCGGCCGUUCGCGUCGGAUGUGAAAGCUCAGGGCUCAACCCUGAGACGCCAUUCGAUACGGGACGGCUAGAGGUAGGUAGGGGAGACUGGAAUUCCUGGUGUAGCGGUGAAAUGCGCAGAUAUCAGGAGGAACACCGGUGGCGAAGGCGACACGCUGGGCCGUACCUGACACUGAUGCGCGACAGCAUGGGGAGCAAACAGG